rnacentral:rRNA from 1 species
GACGAACGCUGGCGGCGUGCUUAACACAUGCAAGUCGAACGAAGUGGCGAACGGGUGAGUAACGCGUAAUCAACCUGCCCUUCAGAGGGGGACAACAGUUGGAAACGACUGCUAAUACCGCAUACUGAAGGAGGGGAUUGCGUCUGAUUAGCUAGUUGGAGGGGUAACGGCCCACCAAGGCGAUGAUCAGUAGCCGGGCGGAGAGGAGGAACGGACAAAUUGGGACUGAGACACGGCCCAGACGCCUACGGGAGGCAGCAGUGGGGAAUCGUCCGCAAUGGACGAAAGUAUGACGGAGCAAUGCCGCGUGAGUGAGGACGGCCUUCGGGUUGUAAAGCGCUGUUAAUCGGGACGCGGUACCGGAAUAGAAAGCCACGGCUAACUACGUGCCAGCAGCCGCGGUAAUUC